AGAGUUUGGUCAUGGCUCAGAUUGAACGCUGGCGGCAGGCCUAACACAUGCAAGUCGAACGGUAACAGGAAGCAGCUUGCUGCUUCGCUGACGAGUGGCGGACGGGUGAGUAAUGUCUGGGAAGCUGCCUGAUGGAGGGGGAUAACUACUGGAAACGGUAGCUAAUACCGCAUAAUGUCGCAAGACCAAAGAGGGGGACCUUCGGGCCUCUUGCCAUCGGGUGUGCCCAGAUGGGAUUAGCUUGUUGGUGGGGUAACGGCUCACCAAGGCGACGAUCCCUAGCUGGUCUGAGAGGAUGACCAGCCACACUGGAACUGAGACACGGUCCAGACUCCUACGGGAGGCAGCAGUGGGGAAUAUUGCACAAUGGGCGCAAGCCUGAUGCAGCCAUGCCGCGUGUAUGAAGAAGGCCUUCGGGUUGUAAAGUACUUUCAGCGGGGAGGAAGGGAGUAAAGUUAAUACCCUUGCUCAUUGACGUUACCCGCAGAAGAAGCACCGGCUAACUCCGUGCCAGCAGCCGCGGUAAUACGGAGGGUGCAAGCGUUAAUCGGAAUUACUGGGCGUAAAGCGCACGCAGGCGGUUUGUUAAGUCAGAUGUGAAAUCCCCGGGCUCAACCUGGGAACUGCAUCUGAUACUGGCAAGCUUGAGUCUCGUAGAGGGGGGUAGAAUUCCAGGUGUAGCGGUGAAAUGCGUAGAGAUCUGGAGGAAUACCGGUGGCGAAGGCGGCCCCCUGGACGAAGACUGACGCUCAGGUGCGAAAGCGUGGGGAGCAAACAGGAUUAGAUACCCUGGUAGUCCACGCCGUAAACGAUGUCGACUUGGAGGUUGUGCCCUUGAGGCGUGGCUUCCGGAGCUAACGCGUUAAGUCGACCGCCUGGGGAGUACGGCCGCAAGGUUAAAACUCAAAUGAAUUGACGGGGGCCCGCACAAGCGGUGGAGCAUGUGGUUUAAUUCGAUGCAACGCGAAGAACCUUACCUGGUCUUGACAUCCACGGAAGUUUUCAGAGAUGAGAAUGUGCCUUCGGGAACCGUGAGACAGGUGCUGCAUGGCUGUCGUCAGCUCGUGUUGUGAAAUGUUGGGUUAAGUCCCGCAACGAGCGCAACCCUUAUCCUUUGUUGCCAGCGGUCCGGCCGGGAACUCAAAGGAGACUGCCAGUGAUAAACUGGAGGAAGGUGGGGAUGACGUCAAGUCAUCAUGGCCCUUACGACCAGGGCUACACACGUGCUACAAUGGCGCAUACAAAGAGAAGCGACCUCGCGAGAGCAAGCGGACCUCAUAAAGUGCGUCGUAGUCCGGAUUGGAGUCUGCAACUCGACUCCAUGAAGUCGGAAUCGCUAGUAAUCGUGGAUCAGAAUGCCACGGUGAAUACGUUCCCGGGCCUUGUACACACCGCCCGUCACACCAUGGGAGUGGGUUGCAAAAGAAGUAGGUAGCUUAACCUUCGGGAGGGCGCUUACCACUUUGUGAUUCAUGACUGGGGUGAAGUCGAACAAGGUAACCGUAGGGGAACCUGCGGUUG
rnacentral:rRNA from 1 species